UACGGGGGGGGCAAGCGUUGUUCGGAAUUACUGGGCGUAAAGGGCUCGUAGGUGGCCAAUUAAGUCAGGCGUGAAAUCCCCAGGCUCAACUUGGGAACUGCGUCUGAUACUGGAUGGCUUGGAUUUGGGAGAGGGAUGCGGAAUUCCAGGUGUAGCGGUGAAAUGCGUAGAUAUCUGGAGGAACACCGGUGGCGAAGGCGGCAUCCUGGACCAAUAUUGACGCUGAGGAGCGAAAGCUAGGGGAGCAAACGGG
rnacentral:rRNA from 1 species